rnacentral:lncRNA from 1 species
CUACGAAUCUGAACGAAACCUGGAUCACGAUCGACUCUUUGAUCCUUUUCUUGAUCUUUUUUUCUCUUUUUCUCUUGUUCUUCUUCCCUUGAUUAUGAAGCAAUCAAGGCCUAAAAGCUAGCAAGGAAGAGGAUGCCCAAGCUCCUCUUGGGCAUGGAGAUGUUGGACGCCUAACACCUUUGGACAUUGGAACCUUAGGGGAG